rnacentral:rRNA from 1 species
UUAAGCGACUAAGCGUACACGGUGGAUGCCCUGGCAGUCAGAGGCGAUGAAGGACGUGCUAAUCUGCGAAAAGCGUCGGUAAGGUGAUAUGAACCGUUAUAACCGGCGAUGUCCGAAUGGGGAAACCCAGUGUGAUUCGUCACACUAUCGUUAACUGAAUACAUAGGUUAACGAGGCGAACCGGGGGAACUGAAACAUCUAAGUACCCCGAGGAAAAGAAAUCAACCGAGAUUCCCCCAGUAGCGGCGAGCGAACGGGGAGCAGCCCAGAGUCUGAAUCAGCUUGUGUGUUAGUGGAACGGUCUGGAAAGUCCGACGGUACAGGGUGAUAGUCCCGUACACCAAAAUGCACAGGUUGUGAACUCGAAGAGUAGGGCGGGACACGUGGUAUCCUGUCUGAAUAUGGGGGGACCAUCCUCCAAGGCUAAAUACUCCUGACUGACCGAUAGUGAACCAGUACCGUGAGGGAAAGGCGAAAAGAACCCCGGCGAGGGGAGUGAAAAAGAACCUGAAACCGUGUACGUACAAGCAGUGGGAGCACCUUCGGGUGUGACUGCGUACCUUUUGUAUAAUGGGUCAGCGACUUAUAUUCUGUAGCAAGGUUAACCGUAUAGGGGAGCCGCAGGGAAACCGAGUCUUAACUGGGCGUUAAGUUGCAGGGUAUAGACCCGAAACCCGGUGAUCUAGCCAUGGGCAGGUUGAAGGUUGGGUAACACUAACUGGAGGACCGAACCGACUAAUGUUGAAAAAUUAGCGGAUGACUUGUGGCUGGGGGUGAAAGGCCAAUCAAACCGGGAGAUAGCUGGUUCUCCCCGAAAGCUAUUUAGGUAGCGCCUCGUGAACUCAUCUUCGGGGGUAGAGCACUGUUUCGGCUAGGGGGUCAUCCCGACUUACCAACCCGAUGCAAACUACGAAUACCGAAGAAUGUUAUCACGGGAGACACACGGCGGGUGCUAACGUCCGUCGUGAAGAGGGAAACAACCCAGACCGCCAGCUAAGGUCCCAAAGUCAUGGUUAAGUGGGAAACGAUGUGGGAAGGCACAGACAGCCAGGAUGUUGGCUUAGAAGCAGCCAUCAUUUAAAGAAAGCGUAAUAGCUCACUGGUCGAGUCGGCCUGCGCGGAAGAUGUAACGGGGCUAAACCAUGCACCGAAGCUGCGGCAGCGACACUAUGUGUUGUUGGGUAGGGGAGCGUUCUGUAAGCCUGCGAAGGUGUGCUGUGAGGCAUGCUGGAGGUAUCAGAAGUGCGAAUGCUGACAUAAGUAACGAUAAAGCGGGUGAAAAGCCCGCUCGCCGGAAGACCAAGGGUUCCUGUCCAACGUUAAUCGGGGCAGGGUGAGUCGACCCCUAAGGCGAGGCCGAAAGGCGUAGUCGAUGGGAAACAGGUUAAUAUUCCUGUACUUGGUGUUACUGCGAAGGGGGGACGGAGAAGGCUAUGUUAGCCGGGCGACGGUUGUCCCGGUUUAAGCAUGUAGGCUGGUUGUCCAGGCAAAUCCGGAUAAUCAAGGCUGAGGUGUGAUGACGAGGCACUACGGUGCUGAAGUAACAAAUGCCCUGCUUCCAGGAAAAGCCUCUAAGCAUCAGGUAACAUCAAAUCGUACCCCAAACCGACACAGGUGGUCAGGUAGAGAAUACCAAGGCGCUUGAGAGAACUCGGGUGAAGGAACUAGGCAAAAUGGUGCCGUAACUUCGGGAGAAGGCACGCUGGUGUGUAGGUGAAGUCCCUGCGGAUGGAGCUGAGACCAGUCGAAGAUACCAGCUGGCUGCAACUGUUUAUUAAAAACACAGCACUGUGCAAACACGAAAGUGGACGUAUACGGUGUGACGCCUGCCCGGUGCCGGAAGGUUAAUUGAUGGGGUUAUCCGUAAGGAGAAGCUCUUGAUCGAAGCCCCGGUAAACGGCGGCCGUAACUAUAACGGUCCUAAGGUAGCGAAAUUCCUUGUCGGGUAAGUUCCGACCUGCACGAAUGGCGUAAUGAUGGCCAGGCUGUCUCCACCCGAGACUCAGUGAAAUUGAACUCGCUGUGAAGAUGCAGUGUACCCGCGGCAAGACGGAAAGACCCCGUGAACCUUUACUAUAGCUUGACACUGAACAUUGAGCCUUGAUGUGUAGGAUAGGUGGGAGGCUUUGAAGCGUGGACGCCAGUCUGCGUGGAGCCAACCUUGAAAUACCACCCUUUAAUGUUUGAUGUUCUAACGUUGGCCCCUUACCGGGGUUGCGGACAGUGUCUGGUGGGUAGUUUGACUGGGGCGGUCUCCUCCCAAAGCGUAACGGAGGAGCACGAAGGUUAGCUAAUCCUGGUCGGACAUCAGGAGGUUAGUGCAAUGGCAUAAGCUAGCUUGACUGCGAGCGUGACGGCGCGAGCAGGUGCGAAAGCAGGUCAUAGUGAUCCGGUGGUUCUGAAUGGAAGGGCCAUCGCUCAACGGAUAAAAGGUACUCCGGGGAUAACAGGCUGAUACCGCCCAAGAGUUCAUAUCGACGGCGGUGUUUGGCACCUCGAUGUCGGCUCAUCACAUCCUGGGGCUGAAGUAGGUCCCAAGGGUAUGGCUGUUCGCCAUUUAAAGUGGUACGCGAGCUGGGUUUAGAACGUCGUGAGACAGUUCGGUCCCUAUCUGCCGUGGGCGCUGGAGAAUUGAGGGGGGCUGCUCCUAGUACGAGAGGACCGGAGUGGACGCAUCACUGGUGUUCGGGUUGUCAUGCCAAUGGCACUGCCCGGUAGCUAAAUGCGGAAGAGAUAAGUGCUGAAAGCAUCUAAGCACGAAACUUGCCCCGAGAUGAGUUCUCCCUGAGACUAUAAGUCUCCUGAAGGAACGUUGAAGACGAUGACGUUGAUAGGCCGGGUGUGUAAGCGCAGCGAUGCGUUGAGCUAACCGGUACUAAUGAACCGUGAGGCUUAACCUU